rnacentral:rRNA from 1 species
UACGAGGGGGGCAAAUGUUGUUCGGAAUCACUGGGCGUAAAGGGAGCGUAGGCGGGUUUUAAGUCAGGUGUUUAAUCCCGGGGCCCAACCCCGGACAGGCACUUGAAACUGGGAAUCUUGAAUAGUGGAGAGGUCGGUGGAAUUGGAGGUGUAGCGGUGGAAUGCGUAGAGAUCUCCAAGAACAGCCCGUUGCGAAGGCGGCCGACUGGACACAUAUUGACGCUGAGGCUCGAAAGCAUGGGGAGCAA